UACAGAGGUCUCAAGCGUUGUUCGGAAUUACUGGGCGUAAAGGGUGCGCAGGCCGCGCGGGCAGUCAAAUGUGUAAUUCAGGGGCUCAACCCCUGCACUGCGCUUGAUACUUCCGCGCUCGAGCUUUGGAGAGGAGUCUGGAAUUCUCGGUGUAGCAGUGAAAUGCGUGGAUAUCGAGAAGAACACUUAGGGCGUAGGCAAGACUCUGGACAAAUGCUGACGCUCAUGUACGAAGGCUAGGGUAGCGAACGGG
rnacentral:rRNA from 1 species